rnacentral:lncRNA from 13 species
AGUCUAACACCUGGUAGCGCUGCUAACAGUCUAACACCUGGUACCGCUGCUAUACAGGCUAACAGGCUAACGCCUGGUUCCGCUGCUACACAGGCUAACAGGCUAACGCCUGGUUCCGCUGCUACACAGGCUAACAGGCUAACGCCUGGUUCCGCUGCUACACAGGCUAACGCCUGGUUCCGCUGCUACACAGGCUAACAGGCUAACGCCUGGUACCGCUGCUAUACAGGCUAACAGGCUAACGCCUGGUACCGCUGCUAUACAGGCUAACAGGCUAACGCCUGGUACCGCUGCUAUACAGGCUAACAGGCUAACGCCUGGUUCCACUGCUUUCUAAAUCAAAUUUUACUGCUUCCAUGAGUUACUUGAUGUGGAAUAGAGUUCCAUGUUGUCAUGGCUCUAUGUAGUACUGUGUGCCUUCCAUAGUCUGUUCUGGACUUGGGGACUGUGAAGAGACCUCUUGUGGCAUGUCUUGUGCGGUAUGCAUGCUGAGCUGUGUGCUAGUAGUGUAGACAGACAGCUCGGUGUAUUCGAUGUAUAGGAUUUCAUAUAUAUAUAUAUAUAUAUAUAUAUAUAUAUAUAUAUAUAUGAAAUCCUAUUGGAUAUCACAGGGCCUAUACCUGACUGGACAGAGAGAGAGAGAGAGAGAGAGAUAUGAAGUCCUAUUGGAUAUCACAGGGCCUAUACCUGACUGGACAGAGAGAGAGAGAGAGAGAUAUGAAGUCCUAUUGGAUAUCACAGGGCCUAUACCUGACUGGACAGAGAGAGAGAGAUAUGAAGUCCUAUUGGAUAUCAC